rnacentral:rRNA from 1 species
ACACAUGCAAGUCGAGCGGUAACAGAUCCAGCUUGCUGGAUGCUGACGAGCGGCGGACGGGUGAGUAAUGCAUAGGAAUCUGCCCGAUAGUGGGGGAUAACCUGGGGAAACCCAGGCUAAUACCGCAUACGUCCUACGGGAGAAAGGGGGCUCCGGCUCCCGCUAUGGGAUGAGCCUAUGUCGGAUUAGCUAGUUGGUGAGGUAACGGCUCACCAAGGCCACGAUCCGUAGCUGGUCUGAGAGGAUGAUCAGCCACAUCGGGACUGAGACACGGCCCGAACUCCUACGGGAGGCAGCAGUGGGGAAUAUUGGACAAUGGGGGAAAGCCUGAUCCAGCCAUGCCGCGUGUGUGAAGAAGGCCCUCGGGUUGUAAAGCACUUUCAGCGAGGAAGAACGCCUAGCGGUUAAUACCCGCUAGGAAAGACAUCACUCGCAGAAGAAGCACCGGCUAACUCCGUGCCAGCAGCCGCGGUAAUACGGAGGGUGCAAGCGUUAAUCGGAAUUACUGGGCGUAAAGCGCGCGUAGGUGGCUUGAUAAGCCGGUUGUGAAAGCCCCGGGCUCAACCUGGGAACGGCAUCCGGAACUGUCAAGCUAGAGUGCAGGAGAGGAAGGUAGAAUUCCCGGUGUAGCGGUGAAAUGCGUAGAGAUCGGGAGGAAUACCAGUGGCGAAGGCGGCCUUCUGGACUGACACUGACACUGAGGUGCGAAAGCGUGGGUAGCAAACAGGAUUAGAUACCCUGGUAGUCCACGCCGUAAACGAUGUCGACCAGCCGUUGGGUGCCUAGCGCACUUUGUGGCG